CAAACAAGGAAGAGUAAAACUACUGUCAUGGGCCUGCGAGUGUAGCCCAAAUCUGAUCACAACCGGCUAUCGCUCGCUGUUGCCUCUCCAGAAAGUGAAUCCCCAAAUGUAUUCGGCGGAAUCAAAAGCCCUAACCCUAAUUCCCUAGUCGACGUCGUCGCUCGCAUGACAUCUCUGUCGAGUUAGUAAAGAAAAGAGGAUAAUGACGAUUGGAGGCCUGCGCUAAAGGGUGUUUGGGUUGUUCUACAUUACGGUUCAAAGCACAAGUCGCUCGGUUCAAGGCAGUGUUAAUCUUCUUUAUGCACUCAUUCGCAUAAUAAUGCGUGGCUGUGGAAAUGGCUUCAUGUGUGUUGGGGGUUUGAGCGAUUCUAAGCGUGCCUGGUUCAAACUAUUUGGGCUGGCUCUAUUAGCCUAGUGUCACGGCCCGCAUGUUCAAGGCCCAACCCGUUGGAUUGAUCAUGCUAGACCUCUUAGCCCACAUGUCCAGAUUCGUUGUACAGUAGUAGGUGGACUACGGUUGGUGACAGUGGUUGGUAGAUGCCGGUAGGUGACAUUGUAUCUUAGUCACCUACCAUGAUGGUAGGUGGGAUAGGGAAUGUAUAUAAGGAGGAUGUCACAUUGUGAAUCCUCACAUCACAACUUGUAAAGCAUUGAGUAGCAAUACAAGCAUAUAUUCUCCCAAACUUUCUUAAGCGUUCUUAUUGUGUUCUUGCUCU